GGGGGUGUAGCUCAUUUGGUAGAGCGCUCGCUUCGCAUGCGAGAGUCACGGGGUUCGAUUCCCCGCACCUCCA
rnacentral:tRNA from 1 species